GCCUUCGUGAUGUAGUGGUCAGCACGCUCGACGCGCAUUCGAGAUGUCCGUGGUUCGAAUCCCGGCAAGGGCA
rnacentral:tRNA from 1 species